CCACCAUCGAGACCGGCAGAGGGACAGGCCCUUUGAAGCCGGGGCAGCCCGCAGGCGCGAAAGCGUCAGCGUAGGUGCCAAAUCCUGCGGGGACCCCGUGUCUACCGGAAGAUGGUUC
rfam:Stenotrophomonas chelatiphaga strain DSM 21508 contig_49, whole genome shotgun sequence.